AGUAAGGUCAGCUAAGCAAGCUAUCGGGCCCAUACCCCGAAAAAGUUGGUCACAUCCUUCCCGUACUA
rnacentral:tRNA from 1 species